rnacentral:rRNA from 1 species
AGAGUUUGAUCAUGGCUCAGAAUCAACGCUGGCGGCGUGCCUAACACAUGCAAGUCGCACGAGAAAGGGGAGCAAUCCCUGAGUAAAGUGGCGCACGGGUGAGUAACACGUGACUAACCUACCCUCGAGUGGGGAAUAACCUAGAGAAAUCUGGGCUAAUACCGCAUAACACUUACGAGUCAAAGCAGCAAUGCGCUUGGGGAGGGGGUCGCGGCCGAUUAGCUAGUUGGCGGGGUAAUGGCCCACCAAGGCGAUGAUCGGUAUCCGGCCUGAGAGGGCGCACGGACACACUGGAACUGAAACACGGUCCAGACUCCUACGGGAGGCAGCAGUGGGGAAUUUUGCGCAAUGGGGGAAACCCUGACGCAGCAACGCCGCGUGGAGGAUGAAAUAUCUUGGUAUGUAAACUCCUUUCGAUGGGGAAGAUUAUGACGGUACCCAUAGAAGAAGCCCCGGCUAACUUCGUGCCAGCAGCCGCGGUAAUACGAGGGGGGCAAGCGUUGUUCGGAUUUAUUGGGCGUAAAGGGUGCGUAGGCGGUUUGGCAAGUCUGAUGUGAAAUCUAUGGGCUCAACCCAUAGUCUGCAUCAGAAACUGCCGGGCUUGAGUAUGGGAGAGGUGAGUGGAAUUUCCGGUGUAGCGGUGAAAUGCGUAGAUAUCGGAAGGAACACCUGUGGCGAAAGCGGCUCACUGGACCAUUACUGACGCUGAUGUACGAAAGCUAGGGGAGCAAACGGAUUAGAUACCCNNGUAGUCC